GAUUCGGAUGUUUUGCUCUGUGCUCGAGCAUGUUUAAAACUGAACUGACCUAGAACGUAAUACUGAACCCAUAGGAAAAAACUUUGAAAUUGUGAUUUUUCUAGAAUUUCGGGCGGACCAAGUUGUUGGUCCUGGACAACUAUACUAGCAGAGAUUGCAGCUUCUAUGUGAGUACUUUUGUUGGACCGUGAAUGUGUUGGAACUCGACAUUGACGAGUCGCGUGAUUCGCAAACUCUUCAUUUUUUUGGAUUGUAUUGUAUGCUACUACGACUUGUAGUGGUAUAUGCCUACGGAUUUCGCGUUGUGAAACACUCUUCGAUUCACGUUGCAAACGUAAACACUUGGAAUGGGAUGUGUUAUGUGUGUUGUGGUGCGGGAUAUAUAGCCUCUAUACGCCUCUCUCGAAUCUCCCAACAAGGCCACAUAUGAAAAUAAGUGUUCCCAUCGUGGAUAUUAAGAUUGACUCUAGAAGCUGUCUUUAAAUUCACCAAUUUGGCUCUUGUGAAUUGGAGUUUAUCACUCAAGUAUUGGACUAGAUUUAUGUGAACUCUUUGGAAACUGGAAAGUGCGGACUGUUUUGGUUUUGAAAGUUUUUUUGACGGAUGCCUUAUUGAAAACGGACAAGGAUAGUGAUCUUCCACCUUUAAUACCUCAUUGAUGUGUGCAAGACGGAAUAGACCUCAUGGAAAUCCAGCUUUAAAUCAGAUUGGAUUACAUUUUACUUGGAAAGCAUCCAGAAGCCAGGAAAUAGACAUCUAUUUAUGCAAAUCUUGAACUGAAGCAAGCAAUCAUUGUUCAUAGGAUUAUCUGCAGAUGCUGAUGCGACGGGAUGAACCUCAUGAAUAUUCAUUCCUGAAAUUGUGAAUAUUCAUACUUGACAUUGUGAAUAUUCAUAUUUGAAGAGACAAAGUUGUAUCUUCAGUAGAGAGUGUGCACGAGUGGAUCAUAGCUAUUCAUCAGUGUGCAGCAUUCUACUGGAAGAUAACAACGUCUUCAGACUUGGACAUUGUGAGAGGAACUCUUCGGAACCUCAUGAAUAUGCAAAUUUGAACCGCAUCUGUUUAUUUUUAUCUUCCUUGGAUCAUUACCAAUUGUGGAUGUACUGUCUCCAGGAGUGGUGAACUUUAGGAAGGAGUACAUACUGUAAAACUUGUGAAACAGAAGGAAAGUGAAUAUAAAUCAUAAACUUAUUGGCCAGUGUGCCAUUUUGACUUGUUGAAUUCUCAGCAUAAUUGAUCUAAUUUGGAUAAAGUAUUUACAAACUGAGGAACUAAUAUUGCAGAAUUGAUUGAACUGGAACUGGUCAAUCAUACCAAGAAGAAAAGGCUGUUACAGGAGUCUAAUCUCCACAUGUAACACAGCUGUUUUAGUUCUUCAAUAUCCAGUGCUUGGCGUUUUGAUACUUCUGAAGAGGAAGUAGCUCCCAAGAACAGGUAUUUUCAUGUUUUUUCUAUAUCAACAUUAUAAAA